rnacentral:rRNA from 1 species
AGACGUCACACAUUAGAUACCCCUGUAGUCCCAGCCCUAAACGAUGCGCGUUAGGUGUAUCGGUGACCACGAGUCACCGAGGUGCCGAAGGGAAACCGUGAAACGUGCCGCCUGGGAAGUACGGUCGCAAGGCUGAAACUUAAAGGAAUUGGCGGGGAGCACCACAACGGGUGGAGCCUGCGGUUUAAUUGGACUCAACGCCGGGAAGCUCACCGGAUAAGACAGCGGAAUGAUUGCCGGGCUGAAGACCCUGCAUGACCAGCUG